AAAAAAGCUCAAAUUUUUUAUGAAAUAUUAGUAAAAUUAUUUAUAUAAAGCACAGAUCAGACAAUGGACAAGAAUAAAUGGUUUUCUCCACAAAAUUCAUUUUGCUAGUAAUUCAACUACUAAUUUUUUAUGUCGAAAUUUUCCUAUAUGAACGCAAGUAAUAAUAAAAUAUCUAUUCUUUAUGCCAUGCAAGCAUUAAAUAAGAAAAAUAUACUAUCAUCAUAUUACUUUUUCACUUUAAUUAGCAAGCAACAAAUUAUUUAGACUAAAAAUUCAAUCAAAGGUUAAGGGUGCACAACACCCCA
rnacentral:misc_RNA from 1 species